AGCGGCGCAAGGGUGCGCAACACGUGGGUAAUCUGCCAUGAAGUUUGGGAUAACUUGCUGAAAGGCGAGCUAAUACCGGAUGUGACCGGGGCAUCGGAAGUUGCGCUUCAUGAUGAGCCCGCGGCCUAUCAGCUAGUUGGUGAGGUAACGGCCCACCAAGGCCAAGACGGGUAGCUGGUCUGAGAGGACGACCAGCCACACUGGAACUGAGACACGGUCCAGACACCUACGGGUGGCAGCAGUCGAGAAUUUUUCACAAUGGGCGAAAGCCUGAUGGAGCGACGCCGCGUGGGGGAUGAAUGGCUUCGGCCCGUAAACCCCUGUCAUUUGCGACAACUGAUAGUAGCGGAAGAGGAAGGGACGGCUAACUCUGUGCCAGCAGCCGCGGUAAUACAGAGGUCCCAAGCGUUGUUCGGAUUCACUGGGCGUAAAGGGUGCGUAGGUGGCGGGGUAAGUCGGAUGUGAAAUCUCGGAGCUCAACUCCGAAACGGCAUUGGAA
rnacentral:rRNA from 1 species